UCUUUCAUCAUUUAUUCAUUAAUUUAUUUUCAUGUAUAGACUGGCUUUGUGGCAGUGGCAUACACUACGCCAUCCGAAUAUCAUAUCGGAAAAAUUAUGGAGGAAAAGAGCGACAAGUCAAUAGGCAUCUCUUUUUUACAAAAGAUGAAAGAUGGAACAGGCUAUAAAUGGCCUAACAAACCUGUCAUUGAAUAUGACAUUUACGAACAUCAGAUCUUUGUGAGGAAUCUAUAAGUUUAAAGACGACCAGUUAGAAGAACAAUACGAGAGGUGCAUUGAAAAACUUUCUCGACUUGAGCGAAAAACGAAGAUCGAGGCAGUAUGGGAUGACAUCGAGGCGCCAUACCGAAAAGUGGGACGGGUGUGCUGGAAAGAUUUCAAGACUUUGCAGCUUGACAUACCUCCAGUACACGAGACCCUAAUGAAGAUGCAGCUGAUGGUUAGCACAGACUGGGAAAAAGGGUACCUGAAUGAUGAGGUUAUUGAUGAAUAUAUAGCGCUCCUGGAAAAAAAGGCAAAAAAGGAGG